rnacentral:rRNA from 1 species
UACGGAGGGUGCAAGCGUUAUCCGGAAUCACUGGGCUUAAAGGGCGCGUAGGCGGGCAGGUAAGUCAGGGGUGAAAUCUCCAAGCUUAACUUGGAAACUGCCGUUGAUACUAUCUGUCUUGAAUAUUGUGGAGGUGAGCGGAAUAUGUCAUGUAGCGGUGAAAUGCUUAGAUAUGACAUAGAACACCAAUUGCGAAGGCAGCUCACUACACAAUCAUUGACUCUGAGGCCCGAAAGCGUGGGGAUCAAACAGG